AACUGCCCCUGAUCUAGCGGUAUGAUAUCUAGCUUGUAGCUAGAAGACCCGGGUUUAAACCCCGGGCGGGUCA
rnacentral:tRNA from 2 species